rnacentral:tmRNA from 1 species
GGACCAGAAAGCCGUCACCGGCUCCGGCAUCUAUCUCGACACAGACGGCAGUUGAUGCAACUUUUUAUAGUUGCCAACGACGAAAACUACGCACUAGCAGCGUAAGCUGCUUACCUCGAUGAAUCGGCGCCCGUGACGGCGAUUCGAGGGCAAAGGUCCACGGGAUAGCGGGGGUCCGCGCCUCGGAGGCGACCGCGAAACUUGAACGAGGCUCGCCCUCACGCACCCUGUCCGCCGGGUCGCCAACGGGCUAAAUCAAUAGACGGCCUAAGCAUGUAGAGCCGAUGACGGAGAACCGUCGGACGCGGGUUCGACUCCCGCCGCCUCCACCA